rnacentral:rRNA from 1 species
GGGUUGCGGACAGUGUCUGGUGGGUAGUUUGACUGGGGCGGUCUCCUCCUAAAGAGUAACGGAGGAGCACGAAGGUUGGCUAAUCCUGGUCGGACAUCAGGAGGUUAGUGCAAUGGCAUAAGCCAGCUUGACUGCGAGCGUGACGGCGCGAGCAGGUGCGAAAGCAGGUCAUAGUGAUCCGGUGGUUCUGAAUGGAAGGGCCAUCGCUCAACGGAUAAAAGGUACUCCGGGGAUAACAGGCUGAUACCGCCCAAGAGUUCAUAUCGACGGCGGUGUUUGGCACCUCGAUGUCGGCUCAUCACAUCCUGGGGCUGAAGUAGGUCCCAAGGGUAUGGCUGUUCGCCAUUUAAAGUGGUACGCGAGCUGGGUUUAGAACGUCGUGAGACAGUUCGGUCCCUAUCUGCCGUGGGCGCUGGAGAACUGAGGGGGGCUGCUCCUAGUACGAGAGGACCGGAGUGGACGCAUCACUGGUGUUCGGGUUGUCAUGCCAAUGGCACUGCCCGGUAGCUAAAUGCGGAAGAGAUAAGUGCUGAAAGCAUCUAAGCACGAAACUUGCCCCGAGAUGAGUUCUCCCUGACUCCUUGAGAGUCCUGAAGGAACGUUGAAGACGACGACGUUGAUAGGCCGGGUGUGUAAGCGCAGCGAUGCGUUGAGCUAACCGGUACUAAUGAACCGUGAGGCUUAACCUU